GAUGAACGCUAGCUACAGGCUUAACACAUGCAAGUCGAGGGGCAGCGGGAUUGAAGCUUGCUUCAAUUGCCGGCGACCGGCGCACGGGUGAGUAACGCGUAUCCAACCUUCCGUACACUCAGGGAUAGCCUUUCGAACGAAAGAUUAAUACCUGAUGGUAUGAUGAGAUUGCAUGAUAUCAUCAUUAAAGAUUUAUCGGUGUACGAUGGGGAUGCGUUCCAUUAGGUAGUAGGCGGGGUAACGGCCCACCUAGCCAACGAUGGAUAGGGGUUCUGAGAGGAAGGUCCCCCACAUUGGAACUGAGACACGGUCCAAACUCCUACGGGAGGCAGCAGUGAGGAAUAUUGGUCAAUGGACGAGAGUCUGAACCAGCCAAGUAGCGUGAAGGAUGAAGGUCCUACGGAUUGUAAACUUCUUUUAUAAGGGAAUAAACCCUCCCACGUGUGGGAGCUUGUAUGUACCUUAUGAAUAAGCAUCGGCUAACUCCGUG
rnacentral:rRNA from 1 species